AAGUAGUUUGAGACUCAUAAGGAGUAGAUGUUACUGGAGAUCCAGACAGGAAGUAGUUUGAGACUCAUAAGGAGUAGAUGUUACUGGAGAUCCAGACAGGAAGUAUGUUUGAGACUCAUAAGGAGUAGAUGUUACUGGAGUUCCAGACAGGGAGAUGUUAGAGACAGCUUGAACAACCUUCUGUCUUUGGUUACGAAGUUAUCCAGUUAUGACUCGUUUGUUUGUUUUUUUUUUUCGUCUCUGGCUAAAUUAAUCUAAGAGGACUGUUGUGGCAGGUGUUAAUGAAUUGUUAUGAUAUCUAAGAGGUAGUUCCAUCUCUCUCGGACUGUUGUAAACAGAUGUUAUCCUCUUGAUACUAGCCAUCCCGGAUCCGGGAUCGUGAAUACAGCCUCAAGCUCAUUACCAUAACGCAACGUUAACUAUUCAUGAAAAUCGCAAAUGAAAUGAAAUUAACAUGCUAGCUCUCAAGCGUAGCCUUUUGUUAACAACACUGUCAUCUCAGAUUCUCAAAAUAUGCUUCUCAACCAUAGCAAAACAAGCAUUUGUGUAUUGAUAGCUAGCGUAGCAUUUAGCAUUAGCAUCAGCAGGCAACAUUUUCACAAAAAACAGAAAAACAUUAAAAUAAAUAAUUUACCUUUGAAGAACUUCAGAUGUUUUCAAUGAGGAGACUCUCAGUUAGAUAGCAAAUGUUCUGUUUUUCCUGAAAGAUUAUUUGUUUAGGAGAAAUCGCUCCGUUUGGUGCGUCACGUUUGGCUACCAAAAAAACAAAUUCAGUUAUCAAAACGCUGAACUUUUUUCCAAAUUAACUACAUAAUAUCGACUGAAACAUGGUAAACGUUGUUUAGAAUCAAUCCUCAACGUGUUUUUCACAUAUCUCUUCGAUGAUAUAUCGUUUGUGGAAGUGUGCGUUCUCCUCUGAAUCUCAAUGGAAAAUGCCUCCAGUUGAAGAUUACGCACCAAUUUAGACAAAGGACACCGGGCGGACCCUGGCAAAUGUAGUCUCUUAUGGCCAAUCUUCCAAUGAUAUGCCUACAAAUACGUCACAAUGCUGCAGACACCUUGGGCAAACGGCAGAAAGCUUAGGCUUGUUCAUGGCACAUUCACAGCCAUAUAAGGAGACAAUGUAAAACAGAGCCUCAAAAAUUCUGCUCAUUUCCUGUUUGAGGUUUCAUCUUGGUUUCGCCUGUAGCAUCAGUUCUGGGGCACUCACAGAUAAUAUCUUUGCAGUUUUGGAAACGUCAGAGUGUUUUCUUUCCAAAGCUGACAAUUAUAUGCAUAGUCGAGCAUCUUUUCGUGACAAAAUAUUGCGCUUAAAACGGGCACGUUUUUUUAAUCCAAUAAUGAAAUACUGCCCCUAUAGUCUCACGAGGUUUAAUGAAUUGUAAUGAUAUCUAAGAGGUAGUUCCAUCUCUCUAGGACUGUUGUGGCAGGUGUUAAUGAAUUGUUAUGGUAUCUAAGAGGUAGUUCCAUCUCCCUGGGACUGUUGUAAACAGAUGUUAAUGAAUUGUUAUGGUAUCUAAGAGGUAGUUCCAUCUCUCUGACUGUUGUAAACAGAUGUUAAUGAAUUGUUAUGGUAUCUAAGAGGUAGUUCCAUCUCUCUGACUGUUGUAAACAGAUGUUAAUGAAUUGUUAUGGUAUCUAAGAGGUAGUUCCAUCUCUCUCAGACUGUUGUAAACAGAUGUUAAUGAAUUGUUAUGGUAUCUAAGAGGUAGUUCCAUCUCUCGAGGACUGUUGUAAACAGAUGUUAAUGAAUUGUUAUGAUAUCUAAGAGGUAGUUCCAUCUCUCUCGGACUGUUGUAAACAGAUGUUAAUGAAUUGUAAUGAUAUCUAAGAGGUAGUUCCAUCUCUCUAGGACUGUUGUAAACAGAUGUUAAUGAAUUGUUAUGAUAUCUAAGAGGUAGUUCCAUCUCUCUAGGACUGUUGUAAACAGGUGUUAAUGAAUUGUUAUGAUAUCUAAGAGGUAGUUCCAUCUCUCUAGGACUGUUGUGGCAGGUGUUAAUGUGCGUAAUCAAAACAAUCUAUAAUUUUGUUCCAAUUCAAUUUCUGAAAAUAAAUGAUUUGCUGAAAAAAAACACGAUUUAUUUUGUGUAUAUGGCUUUCUGCUACAAGAGAUAAUUGAAUUUCCCACAGCUGUUAUACCAUCACCGUACCUAUGUUUGCUCUGAAAUAUUCUGUUGUCAAAGGGAAGCUUUCUAUCAGGAAUGAGGUGGACAUAAUCCCAAACCACAUUAUGGAAUUCUGAUUUUUGGGGAUUAUUUUAUUGAAUUGAUGAUGCCAGCAUGGAAUAGUUUAGAGUUCAGGUGGUAAUCUCUGAAUAACGGUACCAGAUGUUGUCAGAUGUAUAACAGUACCAGAUGUUGCCAGAUGUAUAACAGUACCAGAUGUUACCAGAUGUAUAACAGUACCAGAUGUUGCCAGAUGUUGC